GUGCUCGCUUUGGCAGCACAUAUACUGAAAUUGGAACAAUACAGAGAAGGUUAGCAUAGCCCCUGCACAAGGAUGGCACACAAAUUCAUGAAGCAUCCCAUAUUAAA
rnacentral:snRNA from 1 species